GGGGUGAGAAGGAUUACUUCUAGGUAUUCCUAGGAUAGGAUAUAAUAAUAAUCUCUACCCAGCACAGCCAGAAGAGGACUGGCCACCCCACAUAGCCUGGUUCCUCUCUAGGUUUAUCAUCUCCACCCGGCACUGCCAGAAGAGGACUGGCCACCCCACAUAGCCUGGUUCCUCUUUAGGUUUAUAAUCUCCACCCAGCACUGCCAGAAGAGGACUGGCCACCCCACAUAGCCUGGUUCCUCUCUAGGUUUAUAAUCUCCACCCAGCACUGCCAGAAACGGACUGGCCACCCCACAUAGCCUGGUUCCUCUCUAGGUUUAUAAUCUCCACCCGGCACUGCCAGAAGAGGACUGGCCACCCCACAUAGCCUGGUUCCUCUUUAGGUUUAUAAUCUCCACCCGGCACUGCCAGAAGAGGACUGGCCACCCCACAUAGCCUGGUUCCUCUCUAGGUUUAUAAUCUCCACCCGGCACUGCCAGAAACGGACUGGCCACCCCACAUAGCCUGGUUCCUCUCUAGGUUUAUAAUCUCCACCCGGCACUGCCAGAAACGGACUGGCCACCCCACAUAGCCUGGUUCCUCUCUAGGUUUAUAAUCUCCACCCGGCACUGCCAGAAACGGACUGGCCACCCCACAUAGCCUGGUUCCUCUCUAGGUUUAUAAUCUCCACCCGGCACUGCCAGAAACGGACUGGCCACCCCACAUAGCCUGGUUCCUCUCUAGGUUUAUAAUCUCCACCCGGCACUGCCAGAAACGGACUGGCCACCCCACAUAGCCUGGUUCCUCUCUAGGUUUAUAAUCUCCACCCGGCACUGCCAGAAACGGACUGGCCACCCCACAUAGCCUGGUUCCUCUCUAGGUUUAUAAUCUCCACCCGGCACUGCCAGAAGAGGACUGGCCACCCCACAUAGCCUGGUUCCUCUCUAGGUUUAUAAUCUCCACCCGGCACAGCCAGAAACGGACUGGCCACCCCACAUAGCCUGGUUCCUCUCUAGGUU